GACGAACGCUGGCGGCGUGCUUAACACAUGCAAGUCGAACGGAAAGGCCCCUUUUGGGGUACUCGAGUGGCGAACGGGUGGGUAACACGUGCGUAACCUGCCCUUCCCUUCGGGAUAACUUCCGUAAACUGGGGCUAAUACCGGAUAGGAAUCCUUUCUGCAUGGAGGGGGUUGGAAAGCUUCUGGGGGUUUGGAUGGACUCGCGGGCUAUCAGCUUGUUUGUGGGGUAGUGGGUUACCAAGGCUUUGACUGGUAGCCGGCCUGGGAGGGCGACCGGCCACAUUGGGACUGAGAUACGGCCCAGACUCCUACGGGGGGCAGCAGUGGGGAAUAUUGCACAAAGGGCGGAAGGCUGAUGCAGCAACGCCGCGGGCGGGAUGACGGGCUUCGGGUUGGAAACCGCUUUCAGCAGGGGCGAAGCUUGUGGUGACGGUACCUGCAGAAGAAGCACCGGCUAACUACGUG
rnacentral:rRNA from 1 species